rnacentral:rRNA from 1 species
GAUCAUGGCUCAGGAUGAACGCUAGCUACAGGCUUAACACAUGCAAGUAGAGGGGGCGAGCGGGAUUGAAGCUUGCUUCAAUUGCCGGCGACCGGCGCACGGGUGAGUAACGCGUAUCCAACCUUCCGUACACUCAGGGAUAGCCUUUCGAAAGGAAAGAUUAAUACCUGAUGGUAUGAUGAGAUUGCAUGAUAGCAUCAUUAAAGAUUUAUCGGUGUACGAUGGGG